UACGUAGGGGGCUAGCGUUGUCCGGAAUCAUUGGGCGUAAAGCGCGCGUAGGCGGCCCGGUAAGUCCGUUGUGAAAGUCAAAGGCUCAACCUUUGAAUGCCGAUGGAUACUGCCGGGCUCGAGUCCGGAAGAGGCGAGUGGAAUUCCUGGUGUAGCGGUGGAAUGCGCAGAUAUCAGGAGGAACACCGAUAGCGAAGGCAGCUCGCUGGGACGGUACUGACGCUAAGGCGCGAAAGCGUGGGGAGCGAACAGG
rnacentral:rRNA from 1 species